UGUCAGCCCCUCCCAGAGUGUACUUGGAAGGUGAAGACACUCAUCAUUUGCCAGCAUGUUUCUGAGACUUUAUUUUUCUUCAUUUUCCAAAGAUGAAAACCAAGCAAAAAGCAGAGGCAUCAGUUUUUCCCUACAAGCUGACUUGUAGAAACAUUUGUAGAGACACUCCAACCAAUCCAGUGGAAGCAUUUCCUUUACUUGGAUGGAUGAACUCCAUUCAUUCAAGGAUGGUCAUGGGAACUGUCGGAGCCAAGGAGGUGCAAAGGUACUUUUGAAGACCUAAUUCAGAGAGGUCUGGACAGUGGACCAAAUUUCCUGCUUUUUGCUUGGCUCUUUGGCAUCAUGCAUACCCUAUGUGUGUAUGUGUCCUUGCAUCAAAUGUCUCUCAGUGGGUGAGAGAUGCUAUUGGUCUUGGACUGGCUUUCUGUAUAAUUAUGAUGAA